CAUGAAACCGGAGCGGCACGGGAGCAAGGACAGGUAUGUUUAUGACACAUUGAACAGUGAAAUCGGCGCUCUGCUAGUACAGUCUGACUGAGUGACUAUGCCCACCAUGGAAGUGUUCAGGAGGCCUCUGGGACAUCGGUGCCCCAUCUGAUUGGUCAGUCUCUGCUGCCCAUCACAGGGAUGGGUGCUGCCAUGCUGCAUGGUACUUGUUCCCUGACAACCAGGGAUGCUACACAACAGAAGAGGGCGCAGCGCAGGAACCGGAAUCGUACAUAGCGCUGGAGCCUGGCCAGGUCAUUACUCCUGGGAUUUAUCUCGGCGCUGUGAAGAGAAUAUAGAUGAACAAAAGAAAGGGAGAGAUACUUCUUAUGCUCCUUUCAGCUUGUGUAAAAACGCAAGUUGUGCGAAACAGUUCUGUCCUGCCCGCCCUUGUUCCUCUUGCCUCUGCCUGCUGGAAUUUCUUUUGCUUUAUCUGUCGAAUUAAAGCUACAUGCGAAUGGUG